rfam:Synechococcus sp. PCC 6312, complete genome.
UCCCUCACAACUAAAUCGCCGGAGACAGCAGGUGCAGUUUGCUUAAUAUCCUGCCGAGGUAAACCCAAAUCUACAGGUUUCUUAGUUCCUCUAAGCCUAUCCUGAUUAGUUUGCCCCCGGCCUAUAUGGUAAGGGGGUUUGUUUUUAUCCAA